UACGUAGGGGGCAAGCGUUGUCCGGAUUUAUUGGGCGUAAAAAGCGUGUAGGCGGCCUGGAAGGUCAGCUGUGAAAACUCGAGGCUCAACCUCGAGACGUCGGUUGAAACCACCUGGCUAGAGUCCGGAAGAGGAGAGUGGAAUUCCCGGUGUAGCGGUGAAAUGCGCAGAUAUCGGGAAGAACACCCGUGGCGAAGGCGGCUCUCUGGGACGGUACUGACGCUGAGACGCGAAAGCGUGGGGAGCGAACAGG
rnacentral:rRNA from 1 species